rnacentral:rRNA from 1 species
GUGGGGAAUCUUAGACAAUGGGGGAAACCCUGAUCUAGCCAUGCCGCGUGAGCGAUGAUGGCCUUAGGGUUGUAAAGCUCUUUCAGCUGGGAAGAUAAUGACGGUACCAGCAGAAGAAGCCCCGGCUAACUCCGUGCCAGCAGCCGCGGUAAUACGGAGGGGGCUAGCGUUGUUCGGAAUUACUGGGCGUAAAGCGCACGUAGGCGGAUCAGAAAGUCAGAGGUGAAAUCCCAGGGCUCAACCUUGGAACUGCCUUUGAAACUCCUGGUCUUGAGGUCGAGAGAGGUGAGUGGAAUUCCGAGUGUAGAGGUGAAAUUCGUAGAUAUUCGGAGGAACACCAGUGGCGAAGGCGGCUCACUGGCUCGAUACUGACGCUGAGGUGCGAAAGCGUGGGAAGCAAACAGGAUUAGAAACCCGAGUAGUCC